GGACUUCUGUGGGGCUGGAGCAAGGUAGUGGAUACGUACCAUGGGUUCCCAGGGAGGUGUCAGGCCCCUGCAAGCCCCUCAGGAUUCAGGGAACUGUCCACCCUCUUUGUGGCUUCACCUCUUCAGAAUUGCCUGUGUGUGUGAGUGCAGAAAUGGGAGGCAAGAUAACUGCUGAAAAUGUUAAACAAACCAGAGCUCUGGCAGGACUCUGCCAGACACUUCAUCCAAACAUAUCAUCUUACAAGUCUGAUAAAAGGAUCUGUUGGAUUUUCUUUCAGAUGAGAUAAUACAUUUGUGUCCAUUGCAACCAAUGUUAAUGUUCAAGAAAUCCAGCUGGGAUGCUUGAAGGCAGCUGUCAUGGACGGCAGGAAGAGUGAACUUCCUUUCCCCAGACCCGGGGCUCACAUGGUCCUUAGCCCAAGGGUAUAAUGAAAGCUGGAGGAACCGCACUGACAAACGUGAUGAUGUGGAAGGUUUCCCUGACUAAGAAACAUUUGACUGUGAAUGAGCUCCAUGGGGAGCCCAGAGUCAGGCUCCACAGAAAAUGAGGGGAAAGGCAAGCAUAUAUGGAAAGGAGAUGUAAAGAAAUAGCCCAAGAUAGUAUCAAAAAGAGGGAGGAAAAACCCCAAGUAUUAUGUUAAGUGGAAGAAAAAUUAAUAAAGACCUGGAAAGGAAAGAAUGUAGAAUUAAUGGUUACUCUCAGGUGCUGUCAUUUUAUUUCAUUUUCAGUCAUUUUCAGUCAAUUUACUUAAUGCUGAACUGGCUGUCUACUGAAAAUAUAUAGCUUUUGGGUACUUUUUUUUAAAUAUUAACCUAUGUUUGAAAUUGAAAUUAAGAGACUGACAUGUUUUGUUGGCUCUGUUAUUUGGAUGCUUAUAUUUGACACAUUCGUUCAGGCAUUGUUUUGUCAUUAGGGUAA